rnacentral:rRNA from 2 species
GGACGGGUGAGUAAUGUCUGGGAAACUGCCUGAUGGAGGGGGAUAACUACUGGAAACGGUGGCUAAUACCGCAUAACGUCGCAAGACCAAAGAGGGGGACCUUCGGGCCUCUUGCCAUCAGAUGUGCCCAGAUGGGAUUAGCUUGUUGGUGAGGUAACGGCUCACCAAGGCGACGAUCCCUAGCUGGUCUGAGAGGAUGACCAGCCACACUGGAACUGAGACACGGUCCAGACUCCUACGGGAGGCAGCAGUGGGGAAUAUUGCACAAUGGGCGCAAGCCUGAUGCAGCCAUGCCGCGUGUAUGAAGAAGGCCUUCGGGUUGUAAAGUACUUUCAGCGGGGAGGAAGGUGUUGUGGUUAAUAACCGCAGCAAUUGACGUUACCCGCAGAAGAAGCACCGGCUAACUCCGUGCCAGCAGCCGCGGUAAUACGGAGGGUGCAAGCGUUAAUCGGAAUUACUGGGCGUAAAGCGCACGCAGGCGGUCUGUCAAGUCGGAUGUGAAAUCCCCGGGCUCAACCUGGGAACUGCAUUCGAAACUGGCAGGCUUGAGUCUUGUAGAGGGGGGUAGAAUUCCAGGUGUAGCGGUGAAAUGCGUAGAGAUCUGGAGGAAUACCGGUGGCGAAGGCGGCCCCCUGGACAAAGACUGACGCUCAGGUGCGAAAGCGUGGGGAGCAAACAGGAUUAGAUACCCUGGUAGUCCACGCCGUAAACGAUGUCUACUUGGAGGUUGUGCCCUUGAGGCGUGGCUUCCGGAGCUAACGCGUUAAGUAGACCGCCUGGGGAGUACGGCCGCAAGGUUAAAACUCAAAUGAAUUGACGGGGGCCCGCACAAGCGGUGGAGCAUGUGGUUUAAUUCGAUGCAACGCGAAGAACCUUACCUGGUCUUGACAUCCACAGAAGAAUCCAGAGAUGGAUUUGUGCCUUCGGGAACUGUGAGACAGGUGCUGCAUGGCUGUCGUCAGCUCGUGUUGUGAAAUGUUGGGUUAAGUCCCGCAACGAGCGCAACCCUUAUCCUUUGUUGCCAGCGGUUAGGCCGGGAACUCAAAGGAGACUGCCAGUGAUAAACUGGAGGAAGGUGGGGAUGACGUCAAGUCAUCAUGGCCCUUACGACCAGGGCUACACACGUGCUACAAUGGCGCAUACAAAGAGAAGCGACCUCGCGAGAGCAAGCGGACCUCAUAAAGUGCGUCGUAGUCCGGAUUGGAGUCUGCAACUCGACUCCAUGAAGUCGGAAUCGCUAGUAAUCGUGGAUCAGAAUGCCACGGUGAAUACGUUCCCGGGCCUUGUACACACCGCCCGUCACACCAUGGGAGUGGGUUGCAAAAGAAGUAGGUAGCUUAACCUUCGGGAGGGCGCUUACCACUUUGUGAUUCAUGACUGGGGUGAAGUCGUAACAAGGUAACCGUAGGGGAACCUGCGGUUGGAUCACCUCCUUACCUUAAAGAA